rnacentral:tRNA from 1 species
GGUUUGAUGGUCUAGUGGUAUGAUUCUCGCUUAGGGAAAACCUAUGUCACAGUAUGCGAGAGGUCCCGGGUUCAAUCCCCGGUCAAACCC